rnacentral:tRNA from 1 species
AUUUAAAUAAUUUAAGUAAAAUAUUGAUUUGUGGAGUCAAAAAUAUGAUAAAAUCAUUUUAAAUC